rnacentral:rRNA from 1 species
CCCGGCGAGGGGAGUGAAACAGAACCUGAAACCGUGUACGUACAAGCAGUGGGAGCCUCUCUUUAUGGGGGGUGACUGCGUACCUUUUGUAUAAUGGGUCAGCGACUUAUAUUCUGUAGCAAGGUUAACCGCAUAGGGGAGCCGAAGGGAAACCGAGUCUUAACCGGGCGUUAAGUUGCAGGGUAUAGACCCGAAACCCGGUGAUCUAGCCAUGGGCAGGUUGAAGGUUGGGUAACACUAACUGGAGGACCGAACCGACUAAUGUUGAAAAAUUAGCGGAUGACCUGUGGCUGGGGGUGAAAGGCCAAUCAAACCGGGAGAUAGCUGGUUCUCCCCGAAAGCUAUUUAGGUAGCGCCUCGUGAACUCAUCUCCGGGGGUAGAGCACUGUUUCGGCUAGGGGGCCAUCCCGGCUUACCAACCCGAUGCAAACUGCGAAUACCGGAGAAUGUUAUCACGGGAGACACACGGCGGGUGCUAACGUCCGUCGUGAAGAGGGAAACAACCCAGACCGCCAGCUAAGGUCCCAAAGUCAUGGUUAAGUGGGAAACGAUGUGGGAAGGCCCAGACAGCCAGGAUGUUGGCUUAGAAGCAGCCAUCAUUUAAAGAAAGCGUAAUAGCUCACUGGUCGAGUCGGCCUGCGCGGAAGAUGUAACGGGGCUAAACCAUGCACCGAAGCUGCGGCAGCGACACUUUAGUGUUGUUGGGUAGGGGAGCGUUCUGUAAGCCGUUGAAGGUGUCCUGUGAGGGGUGCUGGAGGUAUCAGAAGUGCGAAUGCUGACAUAAGUAACGAUAAAGCGGGUGAAAAGCCCGCUCGCCGGAAGACCAAGGGUUCCUGUCCAACGUUAAUCGGGGCAGGGUGAGUCGACCCCUAAGGCGAGGCCGAAAGGCGUAGUCGAUGGGAAACGGGUUAAUAUUCCCGUACUUGGUGUUACUGCGAAGGGGGGACGGAGAAGG